UGGGGAAUAUUGCACAAUGGGCGCAAGCCUGAUGCAGCCAUGCCGCGUGUAUGAAGAAGGCCUUCGGGUUGUAAAGUACUUUCAGCGGGGAGGAAGGCGAUAAGGUUAAUAACCUUGUCGAUUGACGUUACCCGCAGAAGAAGCACCGGCUAACUCCGUGCCAGCAGCCGCGGUAAUACGGAGGGGGCAAGCGUUAAUCGGACUUACUGGGCGUAAAGCGCACGCAGGCGGUCUGUCAAGUCGGAUGUGAAAUCCCCGGGCUCAACCUGGGAACUGCAUUCGAAACUGGCAGGCUAGAGUCUUGUAGAGGGGGGUAGAAUUCCAGGUGUAGCGGUGAAAUGCGUAGAGAUCUGGAGGAAUACCGGUGGCGAAGGCGGCCCCCUGGACAAAGACUGACGCUCAGGUGCGAAAGCGUGGGGAGCAAACA
rnacentral:rRNA from 1 species